CUUCAGUGAUGAUACAAAACAAGUCAGAAAGGACAAACAGUGUAACGUGUUCCUGUGCAGUGUCACGUUCUGUGUUGCUGUAUAAGGUUACGCUACAUCAGUUUUGUCCUGCUCAUUGAUCGAGAUAGAGGCAUUUGUCUGAGAAGG